rnacentral:rRNA from 1 species
AUACGAGUUUGAUCCUGGCUCAGGAUGAACGCUAGCGGCAGGCCUAACACAUGCAAGUCGAGGGGUAUAGUUCUUCGGAACUAGAGACCGGCGCACGGGUGCGUAACGCGUAUGCAAUCUACCUUUUACAGGGGAAUAGCCCAGAGAAAUUUGGAUUAAUGCCCCAUAGUGUUAUAGAAUCGCAUGGUUUUAUAACUAAAGUUCCAACGGUAAAAGAUGAGCAUGCGUCCCAUUAGUUAGUUGGUAAGGUAACGGCUUACCAAGACAAUGAUGGGUAGGGGUCCUGAGAGGGAGAUCCCCCACACUGGUACUGAGACACGGACCAGACUCCUACGGGAGGCAGCAGUGAGGAAUAUUGGACAAUGGGCGCAAGCCUGAUCCAGCCAUGCCGCGUGCAGGAAGACGGUCCUAUGGAUUGUAAACUGCUUUUGUACAGGAAGAAACACUCCCUCGUGAGGGAGCUUGACGGUACUGUAAGAAUAAGGAUCGGCUAACUCCGUG